rnacentral:lncRNA from 1 species
CAGGCUAAGAAUGAAGCAAGUUUUUGCUGGAUAAGAUAAUUAUAUGAUAACAUCUUAUUAUUUCUCAAUUUAUGAUUCUACUAUCUGGAUAUUAGAUAUCACAAGCUCUUUGAAUACUUUUAAUUCAUUGCAGGAUCUGUAAGUCGGUAGGAGAUUUGAAAAAGAUAAAAGAUUUCUUAAUGUUGGAGAUAGAAGAUCAGUUUCAGUUCUAGUGUUAGAAAUUUAUUAAGCUUAUAUUCAAGUCCAAUAUAAUUGUUCUUAGUGAAUAUCACGUUUGUCCUUCUUUUUUAUUGAAUAUUAUUUCUAUAGACC